AUGAACCCCUCCUCGGCCCCGGGUCCGGAUGGCCUACCCGUGACGUUCUUCAAGACGUUCUGGCCUACCAUCAAGCCGGAGGUCAUGGCCCUGUUUGAGGAAUUUUAUUCGGGCUCCAUGGACCUUGGGAGCCUCAAUUAUGGGAUUUUGACCCUCAUCCCCAAGGUCCCGGGCACUUCUGACAUCCGCCAGUUCCGCCCAAUCACAAUGAUUAAUGUGAUUUUCCGGAUCCUAGCCAAAGGGUAUGCCAAUAGGGUGACCCUCCUCGCUGACACGAUUACACAUCCGAACCAAUCCGCCUUCAUACAAGGCCGAUUUAUUCUGGAUGGGGUGUUAGUAUUUCACGAAGUCCUCCAUGAGGUUCGGCUGAAACGCCACGGCGCGGUCUUCCUAAAUCUAGACUUCCACAAAGCAUAUGACACGGUCCACUGGCCAUUCCUGCGGGAAGUGUUGCUUCGCAAGGGCUUCGACGACCGUUGGGUGACUCGCGUCAUGCAGCUUGUCUCCUGUGGCCGGACCGCGGUGAACAUCAACUGA
rnacentral:rRNA from 1 species